UACGUAGGUGGCAAGCGUUGUCCGGAUUUACUGGGCGUAAAGGGCGUGCAGGCGGUCUGUUAAGUUCAGGGUGAAAGCUCCCGGCUCAACUGGGAGAGGUCCUUGGAUACUGGCAGACUUGAGGGAGGUAGAGGAGAGUGGAAUUCCCAGUGUAGUGGUGAAAUACGUAGAGAUUGGGAAGAACACCAGUGGCGAAGGCGGCUAUCUGGACGGUUUCUGACGCUAAGACGCGAAAGCGUGGGGAGCAAACAGG
rnacentral:rRNA from 1 species